rnacentral:rRNA from 1 species
UGAGGAAUCUUGCGCAAUGGAGGAAACUCUGACGCAGCCACGCCGCGUGCCGGAAGACGGCCCUAUGGGUUGUAAACGGCUUUUGAAAGGGAAGAACGCCCGGCUUUCGAGCUGGGGUGACGGUACCUUUUGAAUAAGCACCGGCUAACUCCGUGCCAGCAGCCGCGGUAAUACGGAGGGUGCAAGCGUUGUCCGGAAUCAUUGGGUGUAAAGGGUGCGUAGGCGGGAGCCUAAGUCUGUGGUGAAAUCUUGCCGCUUAACGGUAAAAUUGCCAUGGAUACUGGGUUUCUUGAGUACAGAAGAGGCCGGUGGAAUUCGUAGUGUAGCGGUGAAAUGCAUAGAUAUUACGAAGAACACCAGUGGCGAAGGCGGCCGGCUGGGCUGUAACUGACGCUGAGGCACGAAAGCGUGGGGAGCGAACA